AUUGAACGCUGGCGGCAGGCCUAACACAUGCAAGUCGAGCGGAUGAAGGGAGCUUGCUCCUGGAUUCAGCGGCGGACGGGUGAGUAAUGCCUAGGAAUCUGCCUGGUAGUGGGGGAUAACGUCCGGAAACGGGCGCUAAUACCGCAUACGUCCUGAGGGAGAAAGUGGGGGAUCUUCGGACCUCACGCUAUCAGAUGAGCCUAGGUCGGAUUAGCUAGUUGGUGGGGUAAAGGCCUACCAAGGCGACGAUCCGUAACUGGUCUGAUAGGAUGAUCAGUCACACUGGCACUGAGACACGGUCCAGACUCCUACGGGAGGCAGCAGUGGGGAAUAUUGGACAAUGGGCGAAAGCCUGAUACAGCAAUGCCGCGUGUGUGAAGAAGGUCUUAGGAUUGUAAAGCAAUUUAAGUUGGGAGGAAGGGCAGUAAGUUAAUACCUUGCUGUUUUGACGUUACCAACAGAAUAAGCACCGGCUAACUUCGUG
rnacentral:rRNA from 1 species